UGCCCAGCAUUUCCUAUCCCUAGCUCCUCGCGGUACCGGCCGGAAACUAUGAGCAACCUUAGGGAAGAUCGGGUAACCAACCCCGGUGGGAACUUUGGUCGUAGGCUGACAAGGAAGG
rfam:Aedes albopictus isolate Foshan contig114663, whole genome shotgun sequence.